ensembl:lncRNA
GCUGUAAACACCAGCAAUUCCCAAUGGUUUAACAGAAUCAUUCCUCCUCUGACCACAUAAUUGCUAAAUUGUGCAUGUCAAAUGGCUUCAGGAUAUUCGUCCCCCUUUCCAGCAGGUUUAUCAAGGAAAACUUGCUGGAGAAUGGUGUUGUUUGUGUGUCCUUUAAGUCGGGAACUCAAAGGUCAAUAGUUGCCAAAAGCAUUUUCACUGAGUAACUGCUUCUUUUCCCAAGCUCUGCAACGUGCUGUCUCAACCAGUGAUCCUUAUCAGUUAUUUCUAAAUGUGUGCAUUUCGUUUGGAAGCCAACACCAGCGUUUACAUCCAAGCUUGAUUAUCAUUCAUCACACGAUUGUUUAUAUCAUGCCUAUACACCAAAUCAACAAGGUGGGGAACCUGGAAAUAUUGAAUGUCCUCUGAGUUCAUGGGGCUUUGGCAGUGGGAAAGCUAAACAAAACGGAGCACAGAGAGAGUGUGAGACAGACUUUCCCAAGAUCCCCAGGUUUUGGAAUUUUCCCUCACCAGAUGAGCAGCCCUGUGCUGGGCAGUAGAGUUCCUGUUUCCCGCAUCUGGAGGAGGAGACAGCAUCACAAAAGACUGAGUCUGAGAGUUGCAUCCAAUGAUUUGCUUUCAUAGGAUCUUCUCCAGCUUGCUUUGAGUCAUAAACUUGACUAGCGACCGAAUCUAACGUGGAGUCUCUGCAGGCGUCUCUAUGGAGUUCUGUCCAUAUUCAGUAAAAAAGGAGUGAUGAUUAGAUUGAGUUGUGAAGAAUAUUGAAUUUCCUUGGCCUUUUCUCUUUCUGGAGAAUGAUAUUAAGAGUGAAUGACCCUUAGUGGGCAAAGAAAGAUCCUCCUCUUAGUAGCCACUGUGUUUUCCUUUUUAUGUGUGGCCACCUUUGUAUACAGAUGGGCUAAAAAAAUAUGUAGACUCUGAUGCUAGUCUUUGCAAAUGCCAUCUGUAAAUUCAAGAUGGUGGAGGGGCAGAAUAGACUCAUCUGCUAGCAGAAGAUGACAUGCAAAAGAAGAAUAGGAGGCCGCCAUCACCCGCCACCCACACACCCAUCAGGAGUUGGGACUGGUGAGAAUUAAUGGCCAUGGGUGAAGAUGGACUUGAAUUACACCCACAAGAGCCAAGUUCAUUUUUUUGAUGCAGGAGUUUUUCAGAACACUUCCUAUAUAUUCCCAUUUGAGCAUCACAAGAGUCCCGUGAGGAGCUAAUGCUACACACGUGGAUGGUGAUCCGGUUAUUGCGGAAGUACAAGAGAAGUUUUGUUUCAGAUGUUAUGAACUCAGACGUAACUGUGUCUAACUUUGUUCCCAGUGACCCAGGCUCAGUUUGCAAUCCAAGAUGCUACCCAGAAUAUUCUUAUAGAGCAUGCUCAGUGCUCAGAUAUUAUGGAAGAAGCACACGUAUCUGAGAAGGUCAGCAUUCCUGAGCAAGUGCUGGACUCAGGGGGAACUGAAGAAGUGUCUUUAGCAGAGUGCACAGUCCCAGAGGCUGUUUCAGCUUCUGAUGUUACUUAAGCCUCAGUGUCUAUGCCAGAACAUGUCUUGACGAGUGAAUCUGUGCAGGUGUCUGACGUUGAACACAUUGAAUAAGUGUGUAGUAGUAAUCUAUAGUACAGUAGGGGCAGAAAUCAUUGCUGAUCCUCUGACUGCCGAUAGCCUCUGAAGAAGUAUUGGUAGCAGAUUGUGCCUCUGAUGCAGCCAUUGACGCCAAUGGUGAACCAGAAAGAUGAUGGUGAAAGCAACUGUGAGGGCUACCUUGAUUUCCUGUAAGCCUUGGGGUACCGUGAUUGUCAAAGUGUUUUCAAAGGCUGUCUUUCCCAAAUUAUAUCAGGGGUGCAAUUUUCUUGACUUCUGUGAAAUUAAAUUACAUAGACCUUCCUUUUUUGUUGUUUCACUUCGGAGCCUGUAAGAUGACUCAAAAUUUUUAAAAGUGGAAUGGUACAGGGUCAUUUCUCUGUGAGGACACAAUAGAAAGAUGACAUUUCUUCAGUCUAGAGAGAGAAGGAUGGAAAGCAAUAGAACUGAACUUUUUGAAAUCAUGAAGGAUGUGAUCAGGCUGUUAGCAGACUUUGUUAGAAUUAGGAACUCUCUUAAACUUAAAAGGAGUUCAGCUUGGAGAAAAAUGUACAACCAAACUAUUCAUAGUCUUAUACAUGGAUAUCCUGUACUACUGAAGUAAUACUUAAGUAAUGAGUACUUCACUUACAUGGUAUGUAAAAUGCUCUUUAUAUAACAGAUACAUACACAAGAGUUCUGGCAUAGGAUUUAAGGGACUUCCCUGAUGCCUCAGCAGUAACAAGUCUGCUUGCAGUACAGGAAACCCAGGUUCCAUCCCUGGGUUGGGAAGAAUCCCUGGAGUAGGGAAUGACAACCCCCUCCAGUAUUAUCGCCUGGGAAAUCCCAUGGACAGAGGAUCCUGGUGGGCUACAGUCUAUGGGGUCACAAAGAGUCAGACACGACUGAGAGACUAACACUUUCAACUUCAUAGUAUUUAAACAAAUGAUUCCAAAACAUAAUUUCAAGUAUGAAGGACUCAUUAGAGGUUAUUGAAGAAAAGUAAGGUGUUCUGGAACACACCUCUAAUGUCUGGGAGGACAGCUGUGUCUUCUUACAAUUGAUGUCUUGGUAUCACUUCCAGAUAUAAAAUACUCUGUUGGAUAGAUCACAGUUCUGACCCAAUAGGGAAGUUCUUAGGUCUUUAGGAACUAAACAUCAAACAAAUAAAGACUCACAGACUCUGCUUAUAUAAACUCACAAGACUAUUUGCUUUGCUUAAAUACCUGUUAUGACACAGGAAUUUAAUAUAGCAUAUUGAAGUCCAUCAGCAUAUUAGGAAAUACCUUUUAAAAGUUCUUAAGAUCUUGGAACUGAGAGAAUUCUUUGUGUAAAGAAGAGGAAAGCCUCUUCAUUCAACACGUUUGUUGUGCCCCUACUUUGCGUGAGAGAGUUCUGUAGAUAAUGCAAAUAUGAGUAUAUGCUAAAUUAAAAAAUACACCAAACCAAAAAAAAAAAAAAACAGAAGGUUGGGAGGUUAGGCUGUAAUAGGAGUAGUGGCUGCAGGUAGUCAAAAUACAAGUUAAGAGUGCGACGUAGCUUUGUAUUAAGAAACGCUGACAGUGUCAUGAUACUGUAAGUCUGAACAAUACUCUAACUAUGCUAAUACUUUACUUAAUAUAUAGUAAGAAAUAUAUGCAUAUAAUGCAUAUAAUAUACAUAAAUAUAUUAUAUAUAGUAUUAAAUAUGACUAAUACUAUAAGAGUCCAGGUUUGUUGUUAACAGAUGAGAUAAGCAGGAGUUAGAAAGAGCAGGAAAGGACAGCAGCCAGUUAGGCAGUCACUUUAAAUUUCACAGUGAUGUGAUAAAUAAACGAUGCUAAUGCCAGGUGACAGGUUUUCUGCUUAAGAGAAGUCCUAUUAAGACAUGACCUGAGUGGGAAAGAAAUCCAAAGGGAGAGGCUGUGUAUAUGUAUGGUAGAUCCAUUUUUCUGUACAGUAGAAACUAACCCAGCAUUGAAAAGCAACUUUUUAUUCUAAUAAAAGUUAACUUUAAAAAGGAGUAUUCCCAGGAGAUGAGUGGGUAAACCAGCCAUCCACCUCCUAAAAAAACAGUGCCUCUCUUGUGCAUUUAUGCAUUCACUCCAUUCAUUUACUGAAUUGCUGUCAGUGGGUCCAUGUGCUACACACCAUUUUGGACAGGACCUUUUUCUUCUACCUGUUCUUCCAUUAUUCCUGGAUAAAAGGACAGGUAAGAAAAAAAAAGGGAUAAUAAUCUUUAUUUUCUGAAUUUCAAGGGCCUAUUACAUGUAUUAAAGAAAUUUCUCCUUCUCCAAAAUGCCUACCCAUUUCAAAAAGAGGAAUAAAGACUUCAGAAACCAUCUACUUUUCCUUUUGAAAACUUCAGUGCAUGAAUAAACCAAGUUUAGAAUCAUUUGUAUUUGUAAAGUGCUACCUUGGUGUAAAAAAAAAAAUAAAAAUUAAAAAUGGAAAUAUUUAUGCACCCCCAUCCCCCCAAGUGAAGUGUGUGAAGCGUAUAUUUUACAGAGCAGGAAGUAAAGUAUAAGCUCAGCGUUUUGAGUAAUGUCACUCUCUGCCCUGUGUUAGAUCUGUUGGUUCUUCCUGGUUCAGACCCAUCACUGGCCUCCCGGCUUGCAAGGUGAGUGACUUAGUCUGAUCGAGUCCACAGGGAAUGAUGCCAUGAAGCAUUUGCUGCUAGGCAGUGAAGUGUGAGCAGGUCCAAAAGCGCAGCAUGGUGAGUGUUGACGGAUGCAGAGGAACUAAAUCAUACAUGCUGUAGGCUCCAGGGCAGUGGAGCCCACGUACCGUCACACUCCCAGGAGACCAUGGCAGCAGCAGAAGUCAGGCCAUAGGAAAACAGAGCCUUUGGGUACCAGCGCAUACCUUAGCAAUAUGGGGGUGAUCAGUCAAAAGUUUGUGUUUACAACUCUGGACAAUUGCUCAUUUAUUUCCCCCUCCGUGCUCUGAUAUACUGUGUGUGUGUGUGCAUAGCUGUAACCAAACUCCUUAGAAUCACCAAAUAUCAUGACGGAUUUUCAAAUUCAAUGUGCAACCCCCCCAAGCAUUUCAGCCAUAUAUUUCCCAAUCUGAACUUGUAACAUUGUGUUCCGUAAGGAAAAUUUACUCCACAUGCUUCACAGCUAACUGUGAAUAAACAUAACGUCCGACAUGCCACAAAAUACACGUUUUUCUCACUUCCAAAAUUUAAAAUAAAUAGAAAGGAAAGGUUUUUUUGGAGAAUGUUUGGAAAGUAUCAAAACAAGGACUUACAAAUAUUCUUAAGUAAUAAAACAAACUCUGUGUGAUUCAAAAAUCAUUUACCUUGUAUUUAACCCACUGUUGUUAGAGAUUUAAUUUUCAAAACACAUUUUUCUGAUCAAUAAAAGGAAUAUCUAUACAAACCAACAAGCAACUUGGUUAAAGUAAUUAGUCCCCAGAACUGCCAUGAGAAUAAUGAAAGCUUCAAUAAUAUAUAAUAAAUAACCUAACCAGUAAAUAAAUUUGACUUUUAAAGUUUUAUUAUCUUUUCAAAUUUAUAAAUCUUUUAAGCCGUUUACUUCAAAGCAGGAUAUUGAACUCACUCAGUUUCAAACUAAUGUUAACACCCUUGAUAAACCUGAUUAACUCUUUACAUCUAAAAUAAUACAUUUUAAAAACUGUGUGAUUAUAUAAUUUAACAGCUUUCCUAUUUUAUUAGCAUCAUUUGGAAGAAAACAUGGUCAGUUAUGUCAUAAACAAUAUUUAAUAAUCUUGCCAAAAGUUAAGUAGGCUUCUACUGUUGUUUUUGGAGUUUUUAAAAGUGUUUAACUUGAAAUGGCAUUAACAUUAUUUUUCUAGUCAGAAGAUCACAAAAUUUUAAAAAUUUUAAAAAGUAUUGUUAGAUUUAAAAUCACAUGCUCCAUUCUUCCUAAAAUAGAAAGUAUUCACAUGUAUACCUGUGGCGGAUUCAUUUUGAUAUUUGGCAAAACUAAUACAAUUAUGUAAAGUUU